UGUUGACACCAUAAAUUGGUUUUGCUUCACACUGUCUUGAUCAAGAGUAUGUGAAGCUUUUGAGAAUUGUGGUUGCCCUCCAUUGAUGAAGCUCUUGUUGGCACCAUAAAUUGGUUUUGCUUUACACUGUCUUGAUCAAGAGUGUGUGAAACUUUUGAGAAUUGUGGUUAAACUCCUUUGAUAAACCUCUUGUUGGCACCAUAAAUUGGUUUUGCUUCACACUGUCUUGUUCAAGAGGGCUGAAUAGUUUGAUCUUCGUAUGCCAUGCACUGAAGUUAUUGUUGGCUUGCAAUAAGACUUUGUUGGUGAUUAUAACUCUUGUUGGGCAUAAGUGCUCCCCUAGUUGAGUUGUCAAGCUUGAGGGUUUUUGAUUAUUUGUGAAUGCUAGGAGUUCACAUGUACAAGUUGUACCACUCGUCUUCUAGUAGGUGGAAUGAAUGAUGAGUUACUUUCAUCACUUGGUUGGUGGUACGAAGGUGAUUUCCUUCAUCACAUUUCAUCACAUUUCAUCACCUAGUUGGUGGCAUGAAUGACAAGUUUGCCAAAUAAUAUUAGAGUACGGGUUGUACAUUUCAUCACCUGGUUGGUGGCAUGAAGAUGAGUUACUUCUUCACCUGGUUGGUGGCAUAAGUGGCAAGUUGCCAAAUGAUAUUAAAGUACGGGUUGUACAUUUCAUCACCUCGUUGGUGGCAUGAAGGAGAGUACGAGUUGUACAUUUCAUCACUUGGUUGAUGGCAUGAAGAUGAGUUCCUUAUUCACCUGGUUGGUGACAUAAGUGGCAACUUGCCAAAUGAUAUUAAAGUACGGGUUAUACAUUUCAUCACCUGGUUGGUGGCAUGAAGGAGAGUACGGGUUGUACAU
rnacentral:lncRNA from 1 species